CCUGCAGUGCACAUUCACCUGUGAAACGAUAAUUAUAGCUCCUCACCUGAGGAGCCUUGUCUCAGAAAGGCCUCAAACAGGUCGACCCAGCAUGACUCCCUGCAGCCACACCUGAUUCCUCAGCAGGGCGAGAUCAGCGGGGCGUCACCUGCACAGACGAGGACACCAGCAUGUAUAAAACCGGAGCUUGUCCAUCCAUAAACACGGUCUGAACACGACAGCAGCCAUGGCAGAUUUUGUAAAAAAUAUGUUGGGAAAUGACGGGAUGAGAGAUAUGGUUGCAUCGGAAACAGGUAAAGUGGUGGAGGGCUUCGUGAAGAAAGCAAUGGGUGGAGAAGGAGGAGACCAGAAGGAAGAGGGGGCAGGUGAUGUUGUAGGCACCUUGAUGAGCGCUGUGACUGGAGGAGGAGACAAGAAGGAAGAGGGGGCAGGUGAUGUGGUAGGCACCUUGAUGAGCGCCGUGACUGGAGGAGGAGACAAGAAGGAAGGGGAGGGAGGUGAGUUUAAAAUGAAAACAUUUCUCUUUAACUCCAAGAGCUGCACCUACUUUAACAUUAGUUUGUCUUUUAGCUUCCUUUUCACCACAAAAGCAUCAAACUGCUGCACACAGUUCGCUAGUUGUGACCUCACGUCAUCUUUGCCUUUUUUUAAGUAAACCAAUUCAGAAAAACCUAAGGAGCAACAAGAUUGAUUAAAAC
ensembl:lncRNA